UACGAGGACGAACGCUGGCGGCGUACUUAACACAUGCAAGUGGAGCGACGAACCGGGGCUUGCCCCGGGGCAGAGCCGCGAACGGGUGAGUAACACGUGGGUAACCUGCCUCAAUGAUUGGGACAACCCGGGGAAACUCGGGCUAAUACCAAAUGUGUUCACUCCUUCUAAGGGGAGUGAGGAAAGGAAGCUUCGGCCUCCGCAUUGAGAUGGGCCCGCGGCCCAUUAGCUUGUCGGUGAGGUAACGGCUCACCAAGGCUUCGAUGGGUAGCUGGUCUGAGAGGACGAUCAGCCACACUGGGACUGAGACACGGCCCAGACUCCUACGGGAGGCAGCAGUGGGGAAUCUUGCACAAUGCGCGAAAGCGUGAUGCAGCAACGCCGCGUGGGGGAAGACGGCCUUCGGGUUGUAAACCCCUUUCAGUUGGGACGAAGCUUCGUCGGUGAAUAGCCGGUUGGAGUGACGGUACCUUCAGAAGAAGCCCCGGCUAACUACGUG
rnacentral:rRNA from 1 species